GUGAGUUCUCACGAGAUCUGAUGGUUUUAUAGCCGUCUGGCAUUUCUCCUGCUGCCUCCCGAAGAAGGUGCCUGCUUUUGCUUCGCCUUCCGCAAUAGCUGUAAGUUUCAUGAAACCUCCCUCCCCAGGCAGGCAGAACUGUGAAUCAAUUGAACCUCUUUUCUUUAUUAAUUACCCAUUGUUGGGUAUUUCUUUUUAGCAGCAUGAGAACGGACAGGACCCAUUCAAAUGUUAAAGGUGGAAGUAUGGGUCAUGAACUCCUAAAAGAGGCUGGAUGGCGUCCUGAACCACCUUGCAUCUCCCCACUGUUACUAAGCGUCUGUGAUGAUUCAGCAACACCAAAGGGCCCACAUUUCUCCAGAGAGACACAUCUUAGACUGAGGAGAUGUCUGCUUUGUAGUCAGAGGUGAGAUCCACGUUCCUUAUUUCUCUUUAUAGCUGUGACAUUUUGUGCAAAUAAUUAACCAUUCUAAGCUUCUGUUUUCUUCUGGAGUUCUGAGGAUUCAAUAAGACAACACACAAAAAGCACUUAGCAUGUGUGAGGCACAUAGUAUGUGUUCAGAAAACAUGGGUGAUUGUGUUAUAUUAAUAACAAUAAAACACAGAUCUUUUUCCUCGUACAUAAAACCUAUUCAGAUAGAUUCUUUGCUUCCCUUUCGUGUGAGUACUGCAUCGAACACUUUGAUAGCAACAUUAUUUUUUCCUUAAGAUUUUUAAUGGUUUUUAUUUAGUUUUGCUUUGGAAAAGGUGUUAAUUCUCUCUCUGACCUGUGAGUUGUUUCCAUAAUACCACAAGCAAAUCAGAUCUAGCGACAAAUUUUUAAUCAGAACAUUUAUUGAGAAUAACCCACCUAGUCAUCCAGAAAAGUAAUUUGUGCUUCUAGGUAUUUGCCGAGUAAUUUAUUUGUAUACAGAGGCUUCUGAAAACUUAGUAGACUAAUGUUUCACUUUAAUGUUAUAUAGCCGUGGUCAUAUAUACAUCUCUCGUGUGCGUGUGUGUGUGUGUGUGUAUAUGUGCAUUUCUAUGGUCUUCUCAAAAUUUAUAAGGCAAUUAAAAAAAAUAUUUUGUCAAUUUAAGCUUCAUACACUGCCCCCUGCAGGAAUAACAAGAAUCAUGACUGUUUAUUGAGCCCUGUUAGGUGCCAAGCAGUGUGCUAGUUGUAAUUCACAAAUUAUCUUAAUUCUCAUAUCUUACAGCCCCCGUUUUACAGAUGAGAAAAUGGUGGUUCAGUGUUUACAAAAUUUAAGGAGGUCUCCACAAUUUAUAAGUACCAGAACCAGAACAUAAAUCUCCAUUCUUAUGUCCACAGCCUGUGCUGUCUUCACUGCACUGCUCUGUGACCACUGCUGCCUCUGUUAAAACAUUUCUGCUCAUUCAGAAUGUACGUGCCAAAUACCCCGGGAUGGCUCUGUUCAAUGGUCCCCAAGUGUUUUCAUUUUCCAUAUUAAAAGUUUGCUAGUAAUAUUUAACAUGUUUGUCUUUGAAUAUCACACAGUCAUAAAAGAUUGUUGAAAAGCUAAAUUGACAAGUGAUAAAUGCAGUCUGACAAAAGAUAGAUGUAAUUGGUUGAUUACGAGGGAAAAGUGAUUCCAAUGAAGUAGCAAUACUCACAGCCUAUCCAUAACUAAAACAUUAAAACAACAGCAGAUUUCUCUCUAUGCAUUAACACAGUAUAGGGGAAUAGUUGUAUCCCAUUCUUUGCCAUUAAGUUCUCCCUAAAUUAAUUCCUAGAGAAAUUACAGGCAAAUAGCACCUUCCCCGCAGCACUUUUUUAAUGCAGUAAGAUAAGGAUUAAGAAACCCUGUGGCCCAGUAAGAAACCUAUUUUGUAGUCUCUUUGUACUGAUAAAAUUUCUUCUGGCACUGAACUCCCACUGUCAAAAAUACUAUAACAUUUUACUAGUUUGCAAAAGAUGAAAAUGUUACCAGAUGUUAAAUUCAAGGAGCAAGUUAACAACUUCUGUUUUCAAAUGGGUAGGUUUCCAUCUUAAAAAGAAAUAAAAAGGGACUCCGUUCACCAGCCAUAGUAUGAAAAAGCCGAGUCAUUUCUGACUUGAAUUUUAUAAUUAUUUAGUCUCACAGGAUUGAGCUUUUGCAUAAUGAGAUAUGUGCUAAUUACCUUAACUCCCAGUAGGCUUUAUAAAUGCCUUCUUUUGAACCAGAAAGGCUUGGGUUUCCAGAACAAAGUAAUUAAAUAACUUUCACCCAGCGACAUUAUGGCCAUAGAUAGCACAUGCCUUAAUGCAGGAAAUCUUACCAUUAUUCAUGUGUUAUGUAUCUUUUGCUCUUCCAUGACGAUGUCUCUCCCACUCUGGCCUGGCUCCUUAGCAUAAAAGGUUUAUUGAAAUGAAAGCAUUUCAGAGGUCAUUUUCUCACCUGACUCGUUAAUCAGGGCUGGCAUUUUUAUUUAGUCCAGCUAUACUCCACGUGAGAAAGAUUAGUAGAUCAGCAGCCACACAGAAAAUGUGAG
rnacentral:lncRNA from 10 species